UUUUACACUUAUAACAUAUGCUAAUACUAAAAUAAAAAAUUAAACCUAUCUUUUUAAAAAAAAAUUAUGUUUCAGAGAGCUAAACCCUCUCAUUUCUCUCCAUCCCCAUCUUCACGCAGUCUUUCUUUCUUCCAUCUUCCAUCUCCAAUAAUUUGCUUUUCAAUCUCUCAUCCAGCCUUUCUCCCUUCCCAUCUCCACACCAAUAAUUUGCUUCUCAAUCUCUCAUCCAGUUGGCAAUGACGACCUCUGGCGACUACCGGCAGCGAUGCGUUGACGAAAUAAUGCCAACCAACUUUCGUGUUCCAGCGUUGAAGGAAUGACUUUCGAAGUUGCGAUUUUGGGAUUGGAGAUUUUGAUUUGGAUAAUUUCGUGUGUUCUGGGCUCAUCUACAUAUUGUUGGUGCAUUUUUGGGGUUAGGAUUUCAAAUUGGGGAUUUGGAUUUCUAAUUCAGACUUUCGGGUUUCCGUGGUGGUUGAUGGUGUAGUUCGGUGUCUCCAAUAACUAAUGUGCUUCCUCUCUGGUGCUUCUUGUCUUUCUUAUCAGGGAAGCUUUUGAAGAUUGGAAGCAUUUUCAAAAUGACAUGUCCAUAAACAACAAUGAUAUAGACGUUCUGCAAGAUCAAAAUUGGCCGUCUAUAGCCUUGAAGAAGUUCGAGGUCAAUUGCAAAAAAUUCAUUGAACAGAAGUGUUCCUUCUACCAUUUGGCAGGACAGGACUUUAGAUGGAUCAGAAAUGCUUCGCUUGUAAGCCAUGAAAUAAUAAUAUGGCAACUUUCCUAUUAUACAUAUACUUGGAACCAUGUGUAUGCGUCCUAUUUCGUUUUCAUUUUAAAAGAGGUGGUGACUGGGGAGCUGGAUUAAUUGAUAGUACAUGUGUAUGUUAAGAUCCAAACAAUUGGAAUAUUCUUAAAUACAUUAGAACAAUUAGUGAGUAAUAGUCAAUUUGUUAUGCUAAGACAGUAAGAAUAAAGUAAUAAAUCAUAUUUCCUAUACAUAGGAAGAGUCGUGAAUAGUAGUACAUGUUAGAAUUGAGGCUAGGAGAAUUCUUUAACUUUGAGAUAUGCAAGCACUUUAUUAUUCUUUGUGAAGUUUAAGUUCUUGAUACUGUACCCACAUUGGGAUAAGACAGGGAACUAGGCUUCAUUAAUCAAGAUAUAAAUUUCUCCUAAAACUUUGAGAUAUGAAAGGCCCUAAAACUAAUUGUAAAUGAUCCACAUUUCUGCUAGUAAAGCAA